rnacentral:lncRNA from 1 species
UUUAUGCCAGGUGCGGUGGCUCACACCUGUAAUCCCAGCCCUCUGGGAGGCCGAAUCACUUGAGGUCAGGAGUUCAAGACCAGUCUGGCCAACAUGGUGAAACCGUCUCUACUAAAAAUACGAAAAUUAGCCAGGCAUGGUGGUGGGCGCCUGUAAUCCCAGCUACUCGGGAGGCUGAGGCAGGAGAAUCGCUUGAAUCCAGGAGGUGGAGGUUGCAGUGAGGUGAGAUCACACCACUGCACUGCAGCCUGGGAGACAGAACAAGACUGUCUCAAAAAAAAGAAAAAAAAGUAUUUUGUGUGAUAUUAACACAGCCACUCCAGCUUUCUUAUUACUACUUGCAUGGCUAAUUUUUUAUCCUUUACUUCCAACUGAUUUGUGAACCUAAGUGUACCUUUUGCAGACAGCAUAGAGUUGGAAUUUGGUGGUGGUGGUGUUUUCAAUCCAGUAUGACAGUUUCCGCCUUUUUGGAGACAGGGUCUGGCUCUGCCACCCAGGCUGGAGUGCAGUGGUGUGAUCUUGUCUCACCACUGCCUCCUCUGCAACCUCUGCCUCCUGGGCUCAAGCCAACCUCCCACCUCAGCCUCCCAAGUAGCUGAGACUACAGGCACAUGCCACCAUUCCCAGGUAAUUUUUUUGUAGAGACAGGGGUCUCACUGUGUUGCCCAGGGUGGUCUCAAACUCCUGGGCUCAAGCAAUCCUCCCAUCUCAGCUUCCCAAAGUGCUGGGAUUACAGGCUCGAGCCACCACACAGUUUCCUCACAGCCUUUUGAGUUAAGGCAGGUAGUAUUUCUAUUUCCAAAAGAGGAAACUAAAGCUGAGAUGAGGCCAUGCUGUAGAGAAACUUGAAUGCUAGGGCAAUUGAUUUUAUUUAAUCCAAAAAGAUAUGCAGUACUAAUUAAAUAUGAUUAGAGAUGCAGUAGGGUCAGGCUAGGCAUGGUGGCUCAUGCCUGUAAUCCCAGCACUUUGGGAGGCCAGGAGUCCAAGACUAGCCUGGGCAACACGGUGAGGCCCUCAUCUCUACAAAAAUCUAAAACUUAGUCAGGUGUGGCAGCACGCAUCUGUAAUCCUAGCUACUUGGGAGGCCAAAUUGGGAGGAUCCCUAGAGCCCAGGAGUUUGAGGCUGCAGUGAGCUAUGACCAUGCCACUGCACUCCAGCAUGUCUCUUAAAAAAAAAGAAAAAAAAUGGUCUGUAAAGAAGGCACAAGGAGAACACCACGUGACAAUGAAGGCAAAGGCUGGAGUUAUGCAGCUACAGGCUAAGGAAGUCAAAGAUGGUGGAAGCCAGCAACCACCAAGAGGGAGGGAGCACCAUGGCUCCAAUAUUAGACUCCCACCCCACAGAACUCAGACAACACAUCUGUUGACUUAAACCACCCAGCUUGCGGCACGUUGUCAUAGCAGUUCUAAGGAACUAAUACAGAGAAAAAUAAACAUUUCGACUGUUACUUUGGGUUUGUUUAUUGCAGCUGAUCCUGAUCUUAACAAAGGGUAUGGUCAGAUUUUUUUUUUUUUUUUGAGACGGAGUCUUGCUGUGUUGCCCAGGCUGGAGUGCAGUGGCACGAUCUCGGCUCACUGCAAACUCCACCUUCUGGGUUCGAGCGAUUUCCAGCUAAUUUUUGUACUUUUAGUACAUGGCCAGGCUGGUCUUGAACUCCUAAUCUCAUGAUCCUUCGCCCUGGCCUCCCAAACUGCUAGGAUUACAGGUGUGAGCCACCACGCCCAGCUGGUAUGGUCAGAUUUUAUUAAAAGUAUCAACCUUUUCUGCUGCCUAUAAAAAUAUUCAUAAGUUAUCAGUAUUCUUAGAACAAUUUCUGUGGUUUUAUGAGAGCAGGAGAGGCUGUGAAAUGAACAGUGAUGAAAUGGAAGUCACCACUGUUACAACAGUUAAGAAAAUCUCAGAUGUGAAGUAGACUUCUAACAUUUUUACCAUUUACGGAUAUAAAAACUGAGGCCCAGAGACCACUGACUUGCCCAACAUUUUUACCAUUUACGGAUAUAAAAACUGAGGCCCAGAGACCACUGACUUGCCCAACAUGCUACAUAGAUGGUAAAAAACUAGAAAUUAAACCUGACUCCCCAGCCCACACUUGGUUCACUCUAGCGCACAGGGCUGCCAGAAUUGAGGCGAGAGGGUUGCCAGGGAAAAGUCCGGCCUGCUUGGCUGCCUGGGAAUGGUGCCAGCGGGAGGGAGAGGAUACAAGGAAACUAUGAGGGAACUGCUACCCCAGAGUUUUAACAUGCAGCACUUUCAACACAUAAGUGCUUGAUUUGUACCAUAUGAGCUCAGGGAAGAGAGCGGGGUUAUGUUUCUAAGUAAUUCAUAUUGAUAAUGGCAUUUUCUCCAAGCUAUCUAUGGUGUUACAUGAAAAGAACAAAACACAGAACAGUAUACUAUAUUUUCUUGAACAUGCCUAGAAUCCCUCUGAAAAGACAGAGGAUGGUAACUGGGUGGGAAGAAUUUUCACCUUUCAUAAUUUUGAAUCAUGUCAAUGUCUUUAUCUUAAAAAAGACGACACUGAGCAUAAAAAAAUAAGGUUUUAUUUUCAGCUGAUUUUAGAAAGCUCAGAAAAAAUUUAAAGAAAAUUUAUCUAUAAUUCCCUGACCCAAAGAUUAC